rnacentral:lncRNA from 1 species
UAAACUCAGCUUUCAAGAAACCUUGCAUUUUAUUUAAUCAUCUGUGUAAGAAUGACACACGUGCUUGAUGACUUCGGUUGAAUAGCUUUAUUCUGGAUCUUUCAUUAACUAAAGCUAAAUCCAAAGACCUGAAAAAAGAACACACACCCCCAAAAAAAAGGAAAAGGAAGGAAAAAGUAGCAAAGUACGAACUAAUAAAGAAAAAAGUGGGCUCUGGUUUCCAGGGUUGAGAAAAUGGUGAUGUGGUCGUGGGGGGGCUGUGUCAGCUAGAGGGAGGGACAUGGUGAUUUUUUUUUCAUGCUUGUCACAUUUAAAUGGUCUUUUUGAAUGUGAGAAAGUUCAGAGGUUAUAAUUUUCUGCUUUAUUUUCAUUUAGACUGUGGAACGAGGCUAUACGUUUUGUCCAUUGAAAAAUGAAGACAAAGAAACCUUUUUUUUUUCCCGUUAUCUCUUUGGGUUAUAACCCAACAAGCUAAGUACCAUUAAUAGAAAUACAGGUUACAAAAAAAACAAUUGAGGUAUUUUUCUUUCUUGAAUUAACUUUGAAAAUAGUUUAAGUAACAGUGAUUAAAUUAUUUAAGUUCGCAGCCCCACCUGGUACCAAGCGAACUUCACCUUUUAAUUAUUGGGGCCCUCAGAGCCUUCAUAUUGUAACUUAUUUAUUUAACUUAUUCAGCAUCUGCAAAAGGUGCACGAUGUAGUUUAUAUUUUUUAUUUAAAACAACAGAAAGCACUGCAGUUUGUUUGCUGUCAGACGGACAACAGAGCAAAGUUUGUGGACAAGCAAUGACUAUUCAACCCGAACCUGUGCAUUC